CAGUGAAAUUGAACUCGCUGUGAAGAUGCAGUGUACCCGCGGCAAGACGGAAAGACCCCGUGAACCUUUACUAUAGCUUGACACUGAACAUUGAGCCUUGAUGUGUAGGAUAGGUGGGAGGCUUUGAAGUGUGGACGCCAGUCUGCAUGGAGCCGACCUUGAAAUACCACCCUUUAAUGUUUGAUGUUCUAACGUGGACCCGUAAUCCGGGUUGCGGACAGUGUCUGGUGGGUAGUUUGACUGGGGCGGUCUCCUCCUAAAGAGUAACGGAGGAGCACGAAGGUUGGCUAAUCCUGGUCGGACAUCAGGAGGUUAGUGCAAUGGCAUAAGCCAGCUUGACUGCGAGCGUGACGGCGCGAGCAGGUGCGAAAGCAGGUCAUAGUGAUCCGGUGGUUCUGAAUGGAAGGGCCAUCGCUCAACGGAUAAAAGGUACUCCGGGGAUAACAGGCUGAUACCGCCCAAGAGUUCAUAUCGACGGCGGUGUUUGGCACCUCGAUGUCGGCUCAUCACAUCCUGGGGCUGAAGUAGGUCCCAAGGGUAUGGCUGUUCGCCAUUUAAAGUGGUACGCGAGCUGGGUUUAGAACGUCGUGAGACAGUUCGGUCCCUAUCUGCCGUGGGCGCUGGAGAACUGAGGGGGGCUGCUCCUAGUACGAGAGGACCGGAGUGGACGCAUCACUGGUGUUCGGGUUGUCAUGCCAAUGGCACUGCCCGGUAGCUAAAUGCGGAAGAGAUAAGUGCUGAAAGCAUCUAAGCACGAAACUUGCCCCGAGAUGAGUUCUCCCUGAGACUUAGAGUCUCCUGAAGGAACGUUGAAGACGACGACGUUGAUAGGCCGGGUGUGUAAGCGCAGCGAUGCGUUGAGCUAACCGGUACUAAUGAACCGUGAGGCUUAACCUUACA
rnacentral:rRNA from 1 species